UAAGACGAACCGUGCGAACGUUGUUCGGAAUCACUGGGCUUAAAGGGCGCGUAGGCGGCAUAGCAAGUCCGGGGUGAAAGCCCCCGGCUCAACCGGGGAAGUGCCUUGGAAACUGCUGUGCUCGAGGGAGGUAGGGGUCGAGGGAACUUCUGGUGGAGCGGUGAAAUGCGUUGAUAUCAGAAGGAACGCCGGUGGCGAAAGCGCUCGACUGGACCUUUUCUGACGCUGAGGCGCGAAAGCUAGGGGAGCAAACGGGAUUAGAUACCCCGGUAGUCCUAGCCCUAAACGAUGGGUACUAGAUUGUGGACUGGUCAUGGGUUCACAGUCGAAGCAAAAGUGUUAAGUACCCCGCCUGGGGAGUAUGGUCGCAAGGCUG
rnacentral:rRNA from 1 species